GGAAAAUCAAGGCUGAGGCGUGAUGACGAGGCACUACGGUGCUGAAGCAACAAAUGCCCUGCUUCCAGGAAAAGCCUCUAAGCAUCAGGUAACAUCAAAUCGUACCCCAAACCGACACAGGUGGUCAGGUAGAGAAUACCAAGGCGCUUGAGAGAACUCGGGUGAAGGAACUAGGCAAAAUGGUGCCGUAACUUCGGGAGAAGGCACGCUGAUAUGUAGGUGAAGUCCCUCGCGGAUGGAGCUGAAAUCAGUCGAAGAUACCAGCUGGCUGCAACUGUUUAUUAAAAACACAGCACUGUGCAAACACGAAAGUGGACGUAUACGGUGUGACGCCUGCCCGGUGCCGGAAGGUUAAUUGAUGGGGUCAGCGCAAGCGAAGCUCUUGAUCGAAGCCCCGGUAAACGGCGGCCGUAACUAUAACGGUCCUAAGGUAGCGAAAUUCCUUGUCGGGUAAGUUCCGACCUGCACGAAUGGCGUAAUGAUGGCCAGGCUGUCUCCACCCGAGACUCAGUGAAAUUGAACUCGCUGUGAAGAUGCAGUGUACCCGCGGCAAGACGGAAAGACCCCGUGAACCUUUACUAUAGCUUGACACUGAACAUUGAGCCUUGAUGUGUAGGAUAGGUGGGAGGCUUUGAAGUGUGGACGCCAGUCUGCAUGGAGCCGACCUUGAAAUACCACCCUUUAAUGUUUGAUGUUCUAACGUGGACCCGUGAUCCGGGUUGCGGACAGUGUCUGGUGGGUAGUUUGACUGGGGCGGUCUCCUCCUAAAGAGUAACGGAGGAGCACGAAGGUUGGCUAAUCCUGGUCGGACAUCAGGAGGUUAGUGCAAUGGCAUAAGCCAGCUUGACUGCGAGCGUGACGGCGCGAGCAGGUGCGAAAGCAGGUCAUAGUGAUCCGGUGGUUCUGAAUGGAAGGGCCAUCGCUCAACGGAUAAAAGGUACUCCGGGGAUAACAGGCUGAUACCGCCCAAGAGUUCAUAUCGACGGCGGUGUUUGGCACCUCGAUGUCGGCUCAUCACAUCCUGGGGCUGAAGUAGGUCCCAAGGGUAUGGCUGUUCGCCAUUUAAAGUGGUACGCGAGCUGGGUUUAGAACGUCGUGAGACAGUUCGGUCCCUAUCUGCCGUGGGCGCUGGAGAACUGAGGGGGGCUGCUCCUAGUACGAGAGGACCGGAGUGGACGCAUCACUGGUGUUCGGGUUGUCAUGCCAAUGGCACUGCCCGGUAGCUAAAUGCGGAAGAGAUAAGUGCUGAAAGCAUCUAAGCACGAAACUUGCCCCGAGAUGAGUUCUCCCUGACCCUUUAAGGGUCCUGAAGGAACGUUGAAGACGACGACGUUGAUAGGCCGGGUGUGUAAGCGCAGCGAUGCGUUGAGCUAACCGGUACUAAUGAACCGUGAGGCUUAACCUUACAACGCCGAAGGUGUUU
rnacentral:rRNA from 1 species